rnacentral:rRNA from 1 species
UUGAACGCUGGCGGUAGGCCUAACACAUGCAAGUCGAACGGCAGCACAGAGGAGCUUGCUCCUUGGGUGGCGAGUGGCGGACGGGUGAGGAAUACAUCGGAAUCUACUUUUUCGUGGGGGAUAACGUAGGGAAACUUACGCUAAUACCGCAUACGACCUCCGGGUGAAAGCAGGGGACCUUCGGGCCUUGCGCGAUUGAAUGAGCCGAUGUCGGAUUAGCUAGUUGGCGGGGUAAAGGCCACCAAGGGGACGAUCCGUAGCUGGUCUGAGAGGAUGAUCAGCCACACUGGAACUGAGACACGGUCCAGACUCCUACGGGAGGCAGCAGUGGGGAAUAUUGGACAAUGGGCGCAAGCCUGAUCCAGCCAUACCGCGUGGGUGAAGAAGGCCUUCGGGUUGUAAAGCCCUUUUGUUGGGAAAGAAAAGCAGUCGGUUAAUACCCGAUUGUUCUGACGGUACCCAAAGAAUAAGCACCGGCUAACUUCGUGCCAGCCGCCGCAGUAA